rnacentral:rRNA from 1 species
CGUUGUAGAAACUUAAAUGAAUUGGCGGGGGCCCGCACAAGCGGUGGAGCAUGUGGUUUAAUUCGACGCAACGCGAAGAACCUUACCAGGGUUUGACAUCCUCUGACAGCUAUUGAAAGAUAGUCUUCUGCCUUCGGGUAGACAGGGAGACAGGUGGUGCAUGGUUGUCGUCAGCUCGUGUCGUGAGAUGUUGGGUUAAGUCCCGCAACGAGCGCAACCCCUACGUUUAGUUGCUAACGCGUGAAGGGGAGCACUCUAGACGAACUGCCGUUGACAAACCGGAGGAAGGUGGGGAUGACGUCAAAUCAUCAUGCCCCUUAUAUCCUGGGCCACACACGUGCUACAAUGGCCGGUACAGAGGGAAGCGAAGCCGUGAGGCGGAGCAAAUCCCAAAAAGCCGGUCUCAGUUCGGAUUGCAGGCUGCAACCCGCCUGCAUGAAGUCGUAUUCGCUAGUAAUCGCAGGUCAGCAUACUGCGGUGAAUACGUUCCCGGGCCUUGCACACACCGCCCGUAUGGU